rnacentral:lncRNA from 1 species
GUUUUUUCUGAUUUUAAUUCUUUUUCUUUUAUUAUUUUUAAUAUCUUUUUCUUUUAAAAUUCAUAGUAAUUCCAUUUUUCAUCUAAAAAAUCCCAAAAUAAUUUCUUAAAUUCUCUUUUAUUUUUCUUUCUCUGACUUUUAUUUUUUUACAUUUUAUUUCACUGAUUUACUAUUUUUCAUGAAUUUUCUCUUUUCUCCUUUGUUUUUA